UCGAGCGGGGUUACUGCGACAGAUCCCUUCGGGGUGACGUUGCUUUAACCUAGCGGCGGACGGGUGAGUAACGCGUGGGUAACCUACCCUAAAGCUCGGGAUAACAGUGGGAAACCGCUGCUAAUACCGGAUGACUUUAACCUAUGGCAUCAUGGGUUAAAGAAAGAUUUAUCGCUUUAGGAUGGGCCCGCGUCCCAUUAGCUAGUUGGUGAGGUAACGGCUCACCAAGGCGACGAUGGGUAGCCGGCCUGAGGGGGUGUACGGCCACACUGGGACUGAGACACGGCCCAGACUCCUACGGGAGGCAGCAGUAGGGAAUAUUGCGCAAUGGACGGAAGUCUGACGCAGCGACGCCGCGUGAGCGAUGAAGGCCUUCGGGUCGUAAAGCUCUGUCCUUGGGGAAGAAGGUCUUCGGACUUGACGG
rnacentral:rRNA from 1 species